UACGUAGGGUGCAAGCGUUGUCCGGAAUUAUUGGGCGUAAAGAGCUCGUAGGCGGUUUGUCGCGUCUGCCGUGAAAGUCCGGGGCUCAACUCCGGAUCUGCGGUGGGUACGGGGCAGACUAGAGUGAUGUAGGGGGAGACUGGAAUUCCUGGUGUAGCGGUGAAAUGCGCAGAUAUCAGGAGGAACACCGAUGGCGAAGGCAGGUCUCUGGGCAUUAACUGACGCUGAGGAGCGAAAGCAUGGGGAGCGAACAGG
rnacentral:rRNA from 1 species